CAGCAGCCGCGGGAAUACGGAGGGUGCAAGCGUUAAUCGGAAUUACUGGGCGUAAAGCGCACGCAGGCGGUCUGACAAGUCAGAUGUGAAAUCCCCGGGCUUAACCUGGGAACUGCAUUUGAAACUGUCAGGCUGGAGUCUUGUAGAGGGGGGUGGAAUUCCAGGUGUAGCGGUGAAAUGCGUAGAGAUCUGGAGGAAUACCGGUGGCGAAGGCGGCCCCCUGGACAAAGACUGACGCUCAGGUGCGAAAGCGUGGGGAGCAAACAGGAUUAGAUACUCGCGUAGUCCCUGUCUCUUAUAC
rnacentral:rRNA from 1 species